AUUGAACGCUGGCGGCAUGCCUUACACAUGCAAGUCGAACGGUAACAGGCCUUCGGAUGCUGACGAGUGGCGAACGGGUGAGUAAUACAUCGGAACGUGCCUAGUAGUGGGGGAUAACUACUCGAAAGAGUGGCUAAUACCGCAUGAGAUCUACGGAUGAAAGCAGGGGAUCGCAAGACCUUGUGCUACUAGAGCGGCCGAUGGCAGAUUAGGUAGUUGGUGGGAUAAAAGCUUACCAAGCCGACGAUCUGUAGCUGGUCGGAGAGGACGAUCAGCCACACUGGGACUGAGACACGGCCCAGACUCCUACGGGAGGUAGCAGUGGGGAAUUUUGGACAAUGGGCGAAAGCCUGAUCCAGCAAUGCCGCGUGCAGGAUGAAGGCCCUCUGGUUGUAAACUGCUUUUGUACGGAACGAAAAGCUCUGGGUUAAUACCCUGGGGUCAUGACGGUACCGUAAGAAUAAGCACCGGCUAACUACGUGCCAGCAGCCGCCGCAGUAA
rnacentral:rRNA from 1 species